rnacentral:rRNA from 1 species
UACAGAGGUCUCAAGCGUUUGUUCGGAUUCAUUGGGCGUAAAGGGUGCGUAGGCGGCGCGGUAAGUCGGGUGUGAAAUCUCGGGAGCUUAACUCCGAAACUGCAUUCGAUACUGCCGUGCUUGAGGACUGGAGAGGAGACUGGAAUUUACGGUGUAGCGGUGAAAUGCGUAGAUAUCGUAAGGAAGACCAGUGGCGAAGGCGGGU